rnacentral:rRNA from 1 species
GGGCUUGACAUCCCACGAACCUGGAUGUAAUGUCUGGGGCGCCCUUCGGGGAGCGCGGAGACAGGUGGUGCAUGGUUGUCGUCAGCUCGUGCCGUGAGGUGCUCGGUUAAGUCCGGCAACGAGCGCAACCCGUGCCGCCAGUUACCAUCAGCCAAGGCUGGGGACUCUGGCGGGACCGCCCGCGUCAAGCUGGAGGAAGGCG